GGGGCCGUAGCUCAGCUGGGAGAGCGCUUGGAUGGCAUUCAAGAGGUCGAGGGUUCGAUCCCCUUCGGCUCCA
rnacentral:tRNA from 5 species